AUAUUCCUGUACCACCAUUAUUCGUUUUAAGCGAUGGGGGGACGCAGUAGGAUAGGCGAAGCGUGCUGUUGGAGUGCACGUCCAAGCAGUGAGAUUGAGUGUUAGGCAAAUCCGGCACUCUUAAGAUUGAGCUGUGAUGGGGAGAGGAACUUGUUCCUCGAGUCGUUGAUUUCACACUGCCGAGAAAAGCCUCUAGCUAGAAUAACGGUGCCCGUACCGCAAACCGACACAGGUAGUCAAGAUGAGAAUUCUAAGGUGAGCGAGCGAACUCUCGUUAAGGAACUCGGCAAAAUGACCCCGUAACUUCGGGAGAAGGGGUGCUCUUUGAGGUUCACGCUUCGAAGAGCCGCAGUGAAUAGGCCCAAGCGACUGUUUAUCAAAAACACAGGUCUCUGCUAAACCGUAAGGUGACGUAUAGGGGCUGACGCCUGCCCGGUGCUGGAAGGUUAAGAGGAGUGGUUAGCGCAAGCGAAGCUACGAAUCGAAGCCCCAGUAAACGGCGGCCGUAACUAUAACGGUCCUAAGGUAGCGAAAUUCCUUGUCGGGUAAGUUCCGACCCGCACGAAAGGCGUAACGAUUUGGGCACUGUCUCAACGAGAGACUCGGUGAAAUCAUAGUACCGGUGAAGAUGCCGGUUACCCGCGACAGGACGGAAAGACCCCGUGGAGCUUUACUGUAGCCUGAUAUUGAAAUUCGGUACAGUUUGUACAGGAUAGGUAGGAGCCUUAGAAGCGUGAGCGCUAGCUUACGUGGAGGCAUUGGUGGGAUACUACCCUAAUUGUAUUGGAUUUCUAACCCGCAGCACUUAUCGUGCUGGGAGACAGUGUCAGGCGGGCAGUUUGACUGGGGCGGUCGCCUCCUAAAGAGUAACGGAGGCGCUCAAAGGUUCCCUCAGAAUGGUUGGAAAUCAUUCAUAGAGUGUAAAGGCAUAAGGGAGCUUGACUGCGAGACCUACAAGUCGAGCAGGGUCGAAAGACGGACUUAGUGAUCCGGUGGUUCCGCAUGGAAGGGCCAUCGCUCAACGGAUAAAAGCUACCCCGGGGAUAACAGGCUUAUCUCCCCCAAGAGUUCACAUCGACGGGGAGGUUUGGCACCUCGAUGUCGGCUCAUCGCAUCCUGGGGCUGUAGUCGGUCCCAAGGGUUGGGCUGUUCGCCCAUUAAAGCGGUACGCGAGCUGGGUUCAGAACGUCGUGAGACAGUUCGGUCCCUAUCCGUCGUGGGCGUAGGAAAUUUGAGAGGAGCUGUCCUUAGUACGAGAGGACCGGGAUGGACAUACCUCUGGUGUACCAGUUGUCGUGCCAACGGCAUAGCUGGGUAGCUAUGUAUGGACGGGAUAAGUGCUGAAAGCAUCUAAGCAUGAAGCCCCCCUCGAGAUGAGAUUUCCCAACUUCGGUUAUAAG
rnacentral:rRNA from 1 species